rnacentral:snRNA from 1 species
AAUAUUUUUGUAUUUUGUAAUAAAAAAAAAAAAAAAAAUCUGUUCUUAUCAGUUUAAUAUCUGAUACGUCCCCAUCUGGGGACCAUAUAUUAAAUGGAUUUUUGGAACAGGGAGAUGGAAGAAGAGCUUGCUCUGUCCACUCCACGCAUCGACCUGGUAUUGCAGUACCUCCAGGACCGGUGCACUUCUC